rnacentral:tRNA from 1 species
GGAAUAUUAUGCCAAGACCAGAAGCUUCUAACUUCUUAAUAAGCGGUUAAAUUCCGUUUAUAUUCCU